GGCUGGUCCAAGUGCAGUGGUGUUUACAACUAAUUGAUCACAACCAGUUACAAAUUCCCUUGUUCCUCCUCCACUCCCACUGCUUCACUUGACUAACCUUAA
rnacentral:Y_RNA from 1 species